GCAGUUCCUGAAUCAGACUGUAAUGUAGCUGGUGAGGACGCUCUUGAUUGCACACUUGUAGUAGCAUCUGAGAAUUUGCCUUGCCAUUCC